rnacentral:lncRNA from 1 species
UAGCUCAUUUUUUAAUAAUAUUUACAUGUAUGGAAAUCUAACGAAAUUACCCUUGUUGGCAUUUCAAUUUCGUCGAAUUUGGAGUUACGAUGGGUUCGGUAGACGAUGUUGAAUUUUAAGAUCACAAGUAGAUUUCUGCAGAAUUAGUAAUUGGACACACCUUCACUAAAACGGUAAUUAAUCUGUCUCUGUAACUCCAAAUUUAGUGGGGUUUGAUUCUGUGGAAAGCUAACUCGAUUACGGUCAUUUAGGUAGCCAAUUGGUGAAUUAUGGAUCCAAAUUGAGUUGUAUGCGAAGCUUUGAAGUUGUGACUCGAAAGCAGAUUUUUGCAAAAUUGUGGGGGACAUACCUUCACUAAAACGGUAAUUAAUCUCUCUUUGUAACUCCAAAUUCAGUGGAGUUUGAUUAUGUGGAAAGAUAACUCGAUUACGGUCAUUUCGGUAUCCUUUUGGUGAAUUAUUGAUCAAAAUUGAGUUGUGUGCGAAGUUUUAAAGUUAUGACUCGAAAGCAGAAUUUUAGGGGGGGCAAAAUCCAA